GCAAGGUACAAUGGCUUGUGCCUGUAAUCCCAGCUACUCAGGAGGCUGAGGUAAGAAGAUCACUUGAGUCCAAGAAUUUGAGUUCAGCCUGGGCAACACGGACCUCAUCUUCA
rnacentral:sRNA from 1 species